UGCACUUGAAAGAUUUAACAUUGAGACGAGUGGCGAACUGGUGAGUAACACGUGGGUAACCUGCCCUUGAAGUAGGGGAUAACACUUGGAAACAGGUGCUAAUACCGUAUAACAACCAAAACCACCUGGUUUUGGUUUAAAAGACGGCUUCGGCUGUCACUUUAGGAUGGACCCGCGGCGUAUUAGCUUGUUGGUAAGGUAACGGCCUACCAAGGCGAUGAUACGUAGCCGACCUGAGAGGGUAAUCGGCCACAUUGGGACUGAGACACGGCCCAAACUCCUACGGGAGGCAGCAGUAGGGAAUCUUCCACAAUGGACGAAAGUCUGAUGGAGCAACGCCGCGUGAGUGAUGAAGGGUUUCGGCUCGUAAAACUCUGUUGUUGGAGAAGAACAGGUGUCAGAGUAACUGUUGACAUCUUGACGGUAUCCAACCAGAAAGCCACGGCUAACUACGUGCCAGCAGCCGCGGUAAUACGUAGGUGGCAAGCGUUGUCCGGAUUUAUUGGGCGUAAAGCGAGCGCAGGCGGUUUUUUAGGUCUGAUGUGAAAGCCUUCGGCUUAACCGGAGAAGUGCAUCGGAAACCGGGAGACUUGAGUGCAGAAGAGGACAGUGGAACUCCAUGUGUAGCGGUGAAAUGCGUAGAUAUAUGGAAGAUCACCAGUGGCGAAGGCGGCUGUCUGGUCUGUAACUGACGCUGAGGCUCGAAAGCAUGGGUAGCG
rnacentral:rRNA from 2 species